rnacentral:rRNA from 1 species
CACGUAGGGGGCGAGCGUUGUCCGGAAUCAUUGGGCGUAAAGAGCUCGUAGGCGGCUCGGUAAGUCGGGUGUGAAACCCCCAGGCUCAACCUGGGGACGCCACCCGAUACUGCUGUGGCUAGAGUCCAGUAGGGGAGUGUGGAAUUCCCGGUGUAGCGGUGAAAUGCGCAGAUAUCGGGGAGGAACACCAGCGGCGAAGGCGGCACUCUGGGCUGGAACUGACGCUGGAGGAGCGAAAGCGUGGGUAGCAAACAGG